rnacentral:rRNA from 1 species
CGGCUAACUACGUGCCAGCAGCCGCGGUAAUACGUAGGUGGCAAGCGUUAUCCGGAAUUAUUGGGCGUAAAGCGCGCGUAGGCGGUUUUUUAAGUCUGAUGUGAAAGCCCACGGCUCAACCGUGGAGGGUCAUUGGAAACUGGAAAACUUGAGUGCAGAAGAGGAAAGUGGAAUUCCAUGUGUAGCGGUGAAAUGCGCAGAGAUAUGGAGGAACACCAGUGGCGAAGGCGACUUUCUGGUCUGCAACUGACGCUGAUGUGCGAAAGCGUGGGGAUCAAACAGGAUUAGAUACCCUGGUAGUCCACGCCGUAAACGAUGAGUGCUAAGUGUUAGGGGGUUUCCGCCCCUUAGUGCUGCAGCUAACGCAUUAAGCACUCCGCCUGGGGAGUACGGCCGCAAGGCUGAAACUCAAAGGAAUUGACGGGCGCCCGCACAAGCGGUGGAGCAUGUGGUUUAAUUCGAAGCA